rnacentral:misc_RNA from 1 species
GAUGAAGAACGUAGCGAAAUGCGAUAAGUAAUGUGAAUUGCAGAAUUCAGUGAAUCAUCGAAUCUUUGAACGCACAUUGCGCCCGCCAGUAUUCUGGCGGGCAUGCCUGUUCGACCGUCAUUUCAACCCUCAAGCCCCCGGGCUUGGUGUUGGGGAUCGGCGUGCCCUCGCGGCGCGCCGUCCCCUAAAUCUAGUGGCGGUCUCGCUGUAGCUUCCUCUGCGUAGUAGCAACACUCACACUGGAUCGCAGCGCGGCCACGCCGUUAAACCCCCCACUUCUGAAAGUUUGACCUCGGAUCAGGUAGGAAUACCCGCUGAACUUAAGCAUAUCAAUAAGCGGAGGA